rnacentral:rRNA from 1 species
AUAAUUACCUGGAAAGAAACAAUUAAAGUGAACAUAACAAGGCCUUUCUGCUUUGCCUCCACUUUUCUGGUGGCAAAGCUGGUUCCAUCACGCUCCCGAUGCACUUGA